AAUGUAAAUAUGCGUAUGGAAGAAUACAAAAUCAAUUGCAAGAAUUUCUGUUUCUUUUAUGGCAAUAUCUAAUGCUUCCUUUCUCUCUUUAGGAACUUUCCUCCUAUCCCUAAAUAUAUAUGAGAUCACUUCUUAAAGAAAGAAUCAUAGUAACUUGGUCUGAUGUCAUAGGUCCACAAGAACAUUUUAAGUGCCUCUACAUUCCUUCUGUUUGGCAACAUCCUUUACUACACAACUGCAGCCCUGCUCCAAAUGGGAAGAUGGAUGUACUCAAAGAUCUUGAGAGGCCUUCAGGAGAACAAGUGCAUGUAUACAGUUGCAAACAGACUUCCUGCUUAGGUCUUCUGGCAAUCUACUAUAGUCUAUUCCUUAUACAGGAUAUUUGGAUUUGAUUCAGUGGCAACAGAUAGGCAUUGGGAGCCAUCAGGGAUGCUAUCGAUAGGCAUAUUAGAUUGGCUUGACCUUCAAUUACAAGAAGUAUAUUUGUCUAUUCUAAGUUGUCAUACCUGGAAGACCCAGACAAAGGUGUCAAAUAUCUUAAGACACAUACCUGUGAUUACUUAUCUCAGUCUAACCUUUACUUUUUCAGGACUGCCUCAGUGUGCAUCUAAAAUCUAAGUUGGAGGCAUAAGACUAAGAUUUUUCUGUGUCUCUAGAUUAUUUUUGUCACUAAAAAGUUUUAAAUUCUCCUUGUAUACUCUUUUUUUUUUUCAGUUUAACAGAGAGUAUGAGUAAUUAUUUUGCAGUCUUUUAUUUUUUACAAUAUAUAUUAAUGUUUCCGUCCCAAAGGGAAGGGAAGCUAACCAAUCUGCAGGAAUAUAGUCAUCGUAACAGUGAGUUUGUAGUAUUCCAUGAUACACAAGGAAACAUAGGCUUUUUUUCUCUAAAGAUUGUUAUUUAUUCCGUCACCACUAGCAAGGCUACUAUUAGAGUGAAAAUUUUUAUGAUUAUGAAUUUAUCAAGACUAGACUUAUGAUAUAUUAUAGACAUAUAUAAUUAUAGAAUUACCAGUACAGAAACAGAACAGAUCCCAGAAUGGGAGAAGGAGUGUAGGGUGCCAGUAAAACAAUCUCCAAAAGAAAAUUAACCACAAAAUAACUCAAAAAUAGAACAAUUAUCUGAAAGAAAACUGACUAAUGAGGGGUCAAGAGUAAAACAAUUAUGAGAUGACCACCAAAUGGAUCAAGAUCAAAAGAAUUAUCAAACAAAAAGACUGACUACCUCCAGGAAUGGGCCCAGAAGAGAGAAGAACAGACAGUAUCUCACUUCAAAGUUGAUCCAUUGGCUGGGCAUCGGUUGGCGGGUAGUGAGAAUGACUUUGUGCAUCAAUUGUUUUUUGUAUAUAUAUAUAAUAUAUGUAUAUUAUGAUUGACAUUGCUGUUAUUGCUUUCU
ensembl:lncRNA